GCCAUCCACUCGUCGGCGCUGUCAUGGCGGGUGUGCUGAAGAAGACCACUGGCCUUGUGGGAUUGGCUGUCUGCAAUACUCCUCACGAGAGGCUAAGAAUAUUGUACACAAAGAUUCUUGAUGUUCUUGAGGAAAUCCCUAAAAAUGCAGCAUAUAGAAAGUAUACAGAACAGAUUACAAAUGAGAAGCUGGCUAUGGUUAAAGCGGUAAGUAGCUAAGUCAGUUUUGUUUUCUUGGAUUUGUGGUAUCCAGUGUAACAUUUAACCAAAAAAGUUUAGUUCCUUAUUUUUUAUAUAUUCAAUAUACUUUUCUUCUAGUCUUCUUCCUUGAGUGCUCUUUUCCCAUCAUUCCUCCCUUUUAUUCAACAAACUCUUGUUUAUUGAGUGUUUUCUAUAUGCAGGCCUCUGUUACAUACUGGAGUUUGAGACUAGGAUCAGAUCCUUCCUUGAAGUAACAUUGUAGCUGUUCCUUUUACCUCUGUUCCCUAUUUAGUCCUUUAUUGAUCUUUUGCUUUUUAUCUUGGAUAUAUCAAUCUCGAUCUCCUUUUUCUAAUCUUAGAGAACAAUAAAAGCAAAACAAAAAAGGGU
rnacentral:sRNA from 1 species